GGGCAGGGGGCAGCUACACAUGCAGUCGGACGGUAGCACAGAGAGAGCUUGCUCCUCGGGUGACGAGUGGCGGACGGGUGAGUAAUGUCUGGGAAACUGCCCGAUGGAGGGGGAUAACUACUGGAAACGGUAGCUAAUACCGCAUAACGUCGCAAGACCAAAGUGGGGGACCUUCGGGCCUCACACCAUCGGAUGUGCCCAGAUGGGAUUAGCUUGUAGGCGGGGUAACGGCCCACCUAGGCGACGAUCCCUAGCUGGUCUGAGAGGAUGACCAGCCACACUGGAACUGAGACACGGUCCAGACUCCUACGGGAGGCAGCAGUGGGGAAUAUUGCACAAUGGGCGCAAGCCUGAUGCAGCCAUGCCGCGUGUAUGAAGAAGGCCUUCGGGUUGUAAAGUACUUUCAGCGGGGAGGAAGGUGUUGAGGUUAAUAACCUCAGCAAUUGACGUUACCCGCAGAAGAAGCACCGGCUAACUCCGUGCCAGCAGCCGCGGUAAUACGGAGGGUGCAAGCGUUAAUCGGAAUUACUGGGCGUAAAGCGCACGCAGGCGGUCUGUUAAGUCAGAUGUGAAAUCCCCGGGCUUAACCUGGGAACUGCAUUUGAAACUGGCAGGCUUGAGUCUCGUAGAGGGGGGUAGAAUUCCAGGUGUAGCGGUGAAAUGCGUAAAGAUCUGGAGGAAUACCGGUGGCGAAGGCGGC
rnacentral:rRNA from 1 species